rnacentral:rRNA from 1 species
AGUGAACGCUGGCGGUAGGCCUAACACAUGCAAGUCGAACGGCAGCACAGUAAGAGCUUGCUCUUACGGGUGGCGAGUGGCGGACGGGUGAGGAAUACAUCGGAAUCUACUUUUUCGUGGGGGUUAACGUAGGGAAACUUACGCUAAUACCGCAUACGACCUACGGGUGAAAGCAGGGGAUCUUCGGACCUUGCGCGAUUGAAUGAGCCGAUGUCGGAUUAGCUAGUUGGCGGGGUAAAGGCCCACCAAGGCGACGAUCCGUAGCUGGUCUGAGAGGAUGAUCAGCCACACUGGAACUGAGACACGGUCCAGACUCCUACGGGAGGCAGCAGUGGGGAAUAUUGGACAAUGGGCGCAAGCCUGAUCCAGCCAUACUGCGUGGGUGAAGAAGGCCUUCGGGUUGUAAAGCCCUUUUGUUGGGAAAGAAAAGCAGCAGGUUAAUACCCCGCUGUUCUGACGGUACCCAAAGAAUAAGCACCGGCUAACUUCGUG